CGAAGCUGGAUUCGCUAGUAAUCGCGCAUCAGCCAUGGCGCGGUGAAUACGUUCCCGGGCCUUGUACACACCGCCCGUCAAGCCAUGAAAGCCGGGGGCGCCUGAAGUCCGUGACCGCGAGGGUCGGCCUAGGGUGAAACUGGUAACUGGGGCUAAGUCGUAACAAGGUACC
rnacentral:rRNA from 1 species